AUUGAACGCUGGCGGCAGGCCUAACACAUGCAAGUCGGACGGUAGCACAGAGGAGCUUGCUCCUCGGGUGACGAGUGGCGGACGGGUGAGUAAUGUCUGGGGAUCUGCCCGAUAGAGGGGGAUAACCACUGGAAACGGUGGCUAAUACCGCAUAACGGCGCAAGACCAAAGAGGGGGACCUUCGGGCCUCUCACUAUCGGAUGAACCCAGAUGGGAUUAGCUAGUAGGCGGGGUAACGGCCAACCUAGGCGACGAUCCCUAGCUGGUCUGAGAGGAUGACCAGCCACACUGGAACUGAGACACGGUCCAGACUCCUACGGGAGGCAGCAGUGGGGAAUAUUGCACAAUGGGCGCAAGCCUGAUGCAGCCAUGCCGCGUGUAUGAAGAAGGCCUUCGGGUUGUAAAGUACUUUCAGCGGGGAGGAAGGCGAUGUGGUUAAUAACCGCAUUGAUUGACGUUACCUGCAGAAGAAGCACCGGCUAACUCCGUGCCAGCCGCCGCGGUAA
rnacentral:rRNA from 1 species